UUCCUACGAGGCGCAGCAGUGGGGAAUAUUGCACAAUGGGGGAAACCCUGAUGCAGCGACGCCGCGUGAGUGAAGAAGUAUUUCGGUAUGUAAAGCUCUAUCAGCAGGGAAGAAAAUGACGGUACCUGACUAAGAAGCCCCGGCUAACUACGUGCCAGCAGCCGCGGUAAUACGUAGGGGGCAAGCGUUAUCCGGUUUUACUGGGUGUAAAGGGAGCGUAGGUGGCAUGGU
rnacentral:rRNA from 1 species